UGACAAAAACAAGGAUGGUUGCUUGGAUCUAAAUGAUUUAGCCAGGAUUUUGGCUCUGGAGGACAAUUUCCUGCUGCAGUUCCAGAUGGAUGCCUGCAGUAAUGAUGAAAGA